rnacentral:lncRNA from 1 species
AACAGCUAAACAGCUAAUCCCAGGUCUUCUUUUUUUUUCUCCUUUUGUACAAUAGCUUUUGUAGCAGGAAGAAAAUUAACAGCAGGUGAAAUCUUCUAAAGGGACAGAUCGAAUUUCAGUUCAACUCAAAACGGUUUAUUUCUCACCCUUAAUGGUCAGUGGAGGAUCCAGCCCCGAUAACAGUCUCCUCCAGAUAAUCCACAGAGUUGAUUGGGGAACACUGCGGGAGUGAAACGAACCGA